rnacentral:rRNA from 1 species
AGAUUUUGCCUUCGGGUACAAUUGAGACAGGUGGUGCAUGGUUGUCGUCAGCUCGUGUCGUGAGAUGUUGGGUUAAGUCCCGCAACGAGCGCAACCCUUGUGUUUAGUUGCAAACAGGUCAAGCUGUGCACUCUAGACAGACUGCCGUGGACAACACGGAGGAAGGUGGGGAUGACGUCAAAUCAUCAUGCCCCUUAUGAUCUGGGCUACACACGUGCUACAAUGGCCGGUACAACGGGCAGCGAAGGAGCGAUCCGGAGCGAAUCCUAAAAAGCCGGUCCCAGUUCGGAUUGCAGGCUGAAACUCGCCCACAUGAAGUUGGAGUUGCUAGUAAUCGCGAAUCAGAAUGUCGCGGUGAAUGCGUUCCCGGGUCUU